AGUGAACGCUGGCGGUAGGCCUAACACAUGCAAGUCGAACGGCAGCACAGUAAGAGCUUGCUCUUACGGGUGGCGAGUGGCGGACGGGUGAGGAAUACAUCGGAAUCUACUUUUUCGUGGGGGAUAACGUAGGGAAACUUACGCUAAUACCGCAUACGACCUACGGGUGAAAGCAGGGGAUCUUCGGACUUUGCGCGAUUGAAUGAGCCGAUGUCGGAUUAGCUAGUUGGCGGGGUAAAGGCCCACCAAGGCGACGAUCCGUAGCUGGUCUGAGAGGAUGAUCAGCCACACUGGAACUGAGACACGGUCCAGACUCCUACGGGAGGCAGCAGUGGGGAAUAUUGGACAAUGGGCGCAAGCCUAAUCCAGCCAUACCGCGUGGGUGAAGAAGGCCUUCGGGUUGUAAAGCCCUUUUGUUGGGAAAGAAAAGCAGCAGGUUAAUACCCCGCUGUUCUGACGGUACCCAAAGAAUAAGCACCGGCUAACUUCGUG
rnacentral:rRNA from 1 species